rnacentral:rRNA from 1 species
UACGUAGGGGCCUAGCGUUGUCCGGAAUUAUUGGGCGUAAAGAGCUCGUAGGCGGUUCGGCAAGUCGGAUGUGAAAUCUCCACGCUUAACGUGGAGGGGCCAUUCGAAACUGCUGUGACUCGAGUCCGGUAGGGGAGUGUGGAAUUCCCGGUGUAGCGGUGAAAUGCGCAGAUAUCGGGAGGAACACCAGUAGCGAAGGCGGCACUCUGGGCCGGAACUGGACGCUGAGGAGCGAAAGCGAUGGGGAGCGAACGAGGA